GCAUUAAUGGGGUAGUGGUAACCUGGGUCGUUGCCAUCUAGCUGGAUGAGGGUUUCGUCGACCCGCAGGGGGUUCGAUUCCCCCUUAAUGCA